rnacentral:misc_RNA from 1 species
CAGAGUUGCAAAACUCCCUAAACCAUUGUGAACCUACCCUUAAACAGUUGCUUCGGCGGCGCCCGGACAGGCCCGCCGGAGACCACUAAACUCUUGUUUUUAGCACUGGCCUCUCUGAGUUUACUGUACUGUAAUAAGUCA